GAAAGAACAAAUCCCAGCUACAAAGGGAACAUAUUUACGCACAAAUCUAAUGAGUGGGUGCGCGAGAGGGAUAGGGAGAGAUUCAAUAAGAAUAAGAAUAACAGAAGAGAGCGGUGAUGAUAAAGGGAAUCUAAGAAAGAAAAUGGAAAUUGCGAGGUGUUUUGCAGAUAUGUACAAUAAAAACCAACAGAAUACAAUGCGAUGGAUGGAUGAUGUAUAAGGUAUUCCUGUAUCUACAUACUCGAGAAUCGCUCGCACCCUAAUUUUGGUGAGAGAGAGAAUUUGU
rnacentral:misc_RNA from 1 species